ensembl:lncRNA
CUGUAGAAGGUCUGGCUAGGAGCCCUGGGAGUUGUACUGUAGAAGGUCUGGCUAGGAGCCCUGGGAGUUGUACUCUAGAAGUUCUGGCUAGGGGCCCUGGGAGUUGAACUGUAGAAGGUCUGGCUAGGCUAGGAGCCCUGGGAGUAGUACUGUAGACGGUCUGGCUAGGGGCCCUGGGAGUUGUACUGUAAAAGGUCUGGCUAGGAGCCCUGGGAGUUGUACUGUAGAAGGUCUAGCUAGGGGCCCUGGGGGUUGUACUGUAGAAGGUCUGGCUAGGCUAGGAGCCCUGGGAGAUGUACUGUAGAAGGUCUGGCUAGGGGCCCUGGGAGUUGUACUGUAGAAGGUCUGGCUAGGAGCCCUGGGAGUUGUACUGUAGAAGGUCUGGCUAGGAGCCCUGGGAGUAGUACUGUAGAAGGUCUGGCUAGGAGCCCUGGGAGUUGUACUGUAGAAGGUCUGGCUAGGAUCCCUGGGAGUAGUACUGUAGAAGGUCUAGCUAGGAGCCCUGGGAGUAGUACUGUAGCCUAUUAACCAGCUCUGUUAUUUAACGAGCUGCUUCCACUGAAACGUUAGGUACUUCUUUACUGGCUGUGUUGUCACGCUGAUAUAGUGUCUCACAUAAAGACGGAGAUAUUCUGACCACUGAGACCUCCCAGCCUACUCUCCCCUCCC